rnacentral:rRNA from 1 species
CUAAGGCAAGGCCGAAAGGCGUAGUCGAUGGGAACCUGGUUAAUAUUCCAGGGCCUGGUGGAUGUGACGGAUCUCGUAAGUUGUUCUCUCUUAUCGGAUUGAGAGGGCUGCGAAGAGGUCCCAGGAAAUAACACCACCAAUAUAGACCGUACCCUAAACCAACACAGGUGGACUGGUAGAGUAUACCAAGGCGCUUGAGAGAAGUAUCCUGAAGGAACUCGGCAAAU